GCCUACGGGGCGCAGCAGUGGGGGAUAUUGCACAAUGGGGGAAACCCUGAUGCAGCGACGCCGCGUGUGGGAAGACGGUCCUCUGGAUUGUAAACCACUGUCCCCAGGGACGAAGAUGACGGUACCUGGGGAGGAAGCUCCGGCUAACUACGUGCCAGCAGCCGCGGUAAUACGUAGGGAGCAAGCGUUGUCCGGAAUUACUGGGUGUAAAGGGAGCGUAGGCGGGAUGGCAAGUCAGUAGUGAAAUCCAUGGGCUUAACCCAUGAACUGCUAUUGAAACUGUCGAGCUUGAGUGAAGUAGAGGU
rnacentral:rRNA from 1 species